rnacentral:rRNA from 1 species
GACGAACGCUGGCGGCGUGCUUAACACAUGCAAGUCGAGCGGUAAGGCCCUUUCGGGGGUACACGAGCGGCGAACGGGUGAGUAACACGUGGGUGACCUGCCCUCAGCUCUGGGAUAAGCCUGGGAAACCGGGUCUAAUACCGGAUAUGACUCCAUGACGCAUGUUGUGGGGUGGAAAGCCUUGUGCGGCUGAGGAUGGGCCCGCGGCCUAUCAGCUUGUUGGUGGGGUGAUGGCCUACCAAGGCGACGACGGGUAGCCGGCCUGAGAGGGCGA